rnacentral:tRNA from 1 species
CGUUAAGAAGCUAUCAGGACCAGCAACAGCCUUUUAAGCUGUAGAUAGGUGACUACCUACCACCCUUAACGA